CUGCUGCGAGAAGGGCCUUUCCCUAAGUUCUCCCAGGGCGCUGCCGGAGCCCUGCCGGCUAAGGGAUGGGGAAACAAACAGAGACAUGGUCUUGCUACGUUGCCCAGGCUGUUCCCGAACUCCUGGCCUCAAGUAGUCCUCCCACCUCGGCAUCCCAAAGUGCUGGGAUUAUAGACGUGAGCCACCGCGCCCGGCAAUUAGUCUUUUCUAAACUUCAUAUUGUCUCCACUCCUGUCUACACUUCAUCUUUCUUCAGACUCCUACCAUCUAUCCUCCAACUCCACCACCCGCUGAUCCGGCACGCUAAAGACCACCAAUGAUUUAAAGGCUGCGAAAUCGGAAAAAUACUACGCUAGCAGGCCCACUAAUGAAUUCGCCUUCUUGUUCACUGACUUCCCAAUACACCUGCUCCAGGAUAUCCCCCGUCAUCCCAAAUGACUCAAGGAUGUGACGCUAUUCCGGAGUGAAGAGUGUUUCUCGGGAUUUCGCGAGCUUUUUUCCUAGAUGCCUCACAGAGCUUGCUGUCCGGCAGUCCAGUUACAGGUUUGCCAGCACAGUAGUUCAUUGUGAGAAGUGUUUCUAAUGGGUGCUGCAAGGCUGCAGGGGCAAGCUUUGGGAAUGCUGUUGGUGCAGCAAGUGCUUCCGGGUGGCGGACUGCCAUAGCAUAGGGGAAACAGCUCCUGGUCUUCCAUUUAAAGAGGGUCAUACCUUCACUGUACCUGGGGGAUCUCAAUACUCCAAGUAAAGGAAUCAGCAUGGAAACAAA